rnacentral:lncRNA from 1 species
CCACUGAGUGUCCCGAACUCACCGACUCGUACCACGAAUCACCCGCUGCCCCAAAACAUUCCAAUUUGGAUGCCUUGGCAGCGAACACAAGGUAACACAACAAUACGAUCAUCGCCGGAUAAUCGUACGAAUCCGGAUUUCCGGAAGCGUCUAUUUCGACACCGGAACCCUCCGUCGCUAACCUAUCAUCAUCGAACCCACAAAAUGAUGAUGGUGAUCAGCCAACAAGGCUCAGCGACAAAACACGAAGCAACCAAACACCGUCGGAAAGAAUCCGAACCGAAACCGCGUUCUUUCGGCGAAUUUCGCCGAAAAACGCACCGAAAUCGACCUACCGAUUUCCGCGAAAGCUAACGGACCAUGGACAAUCAGUCCAGUGAUCAAAACAAACU